rnacentral:rRNA from 1 species
AUUGAACGCUGGCGGCAUGCCUUACACAUGCAAGUCGAACGGCAGCACGGGGGCAACCCUGGUGGCGAGUGGCGAACGGGUGAGUAAUGCAUCGGAACGUGCCCAGUAGUGGGGGAUAACCAGUCGAAAGACUGGCUAAUACCGCAUACGACCUACGGGUGAAAGCGGGGGACCGUAAGGCCUCGCGCUAUUGGAGCGGCCGAUGUCUGAUUAGCUAGUUGGCGGGGUAAGAGCCCACCAAGGCGACGAUCAGUAGCUGGUCUGAGAGGACGACCAGCCACACUGGGACUGAGACACGGCCCAGACUCCUACGGGAGGCAGCAGUGGGGAAUUUUGGACAAUGGGCGCAAGCCUGAUCCAGCCAUGCCGCGUGCGGGAAGAAGGCCUUCGGGUUGUAAACCGCUUUUGGCAGGAACGAAACGGCGCAAGCCAAUACCUUGCGCUAAUGACGGUACCUGCAGAAUAAGCACCGGCUAACUACGUGCCAGCCGCCGCUGUAAAAC